UACGAAGGGGACUAGCGUUGUUCGGAAUCACUGGGCGUAAAGCGCACGUAGGCGGGUUGUUAAGUCAGGGGUGAAAUCCUGGAGCUCAACUCCAGAACUGCCUUUGAUACUGGCAACCUAGAGACUGGAAGAGGUUAGUGGAAUUCCCAGUGUAGAGGUGAAAUUCGUAGAUAUUGGGAAGAACACCAGUGGCGAAGGCGGCUAACUGGUCCAGCACUGACGCUGAGGUGCGAAAGCGUGGGGAGCAAACAGG
rnacentral:rRNA from 1 species